UACGUAGGGUGCGAGCGUUAAUCGGAAUUACUGGGCGUAAAGCGUGCGCAGGCGGUUGUGCAAGACAGAUGUGAAAUCCCCGGGCUUAACCUGGGAACUGCAUUUGUGACUGCACAGCUGGAGUGCGGCAGAGAGGGAUGGAAUUCCGCGUGUAGCAGUGAAAUGCGUAGAUAUGCGGAGGAACACCGAUGGCGAAGGCAAUCCCCUGGGCCUGCACUGACGCUCAUGCACGAAAGCGUGGGGAGCAAACAGG
rnacentral:rRNA from 1 species